UCGAAAUUGCCUCGUUGCUUACAAUGCGAGUCGAACGGUGAAGCCCUUCGGGGUGGAUCAGUGGCUAACGGGUGAGUAACACGUGGGCAAUCUGCCCUGCACUCUGGGACAAGCCCUGGAAACGGGGUCUAAUACCGGAUACGACCCGCCCCUGCAUGGGGGUGGGUGGAAAGCUCCGGCGGUGCAGGAUGAGCCCGCGGCCUAUCAGCUUGUUGGUGGGGUAAUGGCCUACCAAGGCGACGACGGGUAGCCGGCCUGAGAGGGCGACCGGCCACACUGGGACUGAGACACGGCCCAGACUCCUACGGGAGGCAGCAGUGGGGAAUAUUGCACAAUGGGCGAAAGCCUGAUGCAGCGACGCCGCGUGAGGGAUGACGGCCUUCGGGUUGUAAACCUCUUUCAGCAGGGAAGAAGCGCAAGUGACGGUACCUGCAGAAGAAGCACCGGCUAACUACGUGCCAGCAGCCGCGGUAAUACGUAGGGUGCGAGCGUUGUCCGGAAUUAUUGGGCGUAAAGAGCUCGUAGGCGGCCUGUCGCGUCGGAUGUGAAAGCCCGGGGCUUAACCCCGGGUCUGCAUUCGAUACGGGCAGGCUAGAGUGUGGUAGGGGAGAUCGGAAUUCCUGGUGUAGCGGUGAAAUGCGCAGAUAUCAGGAGGAACACCGGUGGCGAAGGCGGAUCUCUGGGCCAUUACUGACGCUGAGGAGCGAAAGCGUGGGGAGCGAACAGGAUUAGAUACCCUGGUAGUCCACGCCGUAAACGUUGGGAACUAGUGUUGGCGACAUUCCACGUCGUCGGUGCCGCAGCUAACGCAUUAAGUUCCCCGCCUGGGGAGUACGGCCGCAAGGCUAAAACUCAAGGAAUUGACGGGGGCCCGCACAAGCAGCGGAGCAUGUGGCUUAAUUCGACGCAACGCGAAGAACCUUACCAAGGCUUGACAUACGCCGGAAAC
rnacentral:rRNA from 1 species